rnacentral:rRNA from 1 species
UACAGAGGGUGCAAGCGUUAAUCGGAAUUACUGGGCGUAAAGCGUGCGUAGGUGGUUUACUAAGUCAGGUGUGAAAUCCCCGGGCUUAACCUGGGAACUGCAUUUGUGACUGCAUUGCUGGAGUGCGGCAGAGGGGGAUGGAAUUCCGCGUGUAGCAGUGAAAUGCGUAGAUAUGCGGAGGAACACCGAUGGCGAAGGCAAUCCCCUGGGCCUGCACUGACGCUCAUGCACGAAAGCGUGGGGAGCAAACAGG